rnacentral:rRNA from 1 species
CCUACGGGAGGCAGCAGUGGGGAAUCUUGCGCAAUGGGCGAAAGCCUGACGCAGCCAUGCCGCGUGAAUGAUGAAGGUCUUAGGAUUGUAAAAUUCUUUCACCGGGGACGAUAAUGACGGUACCCGGAGAAGAAGCCCCGGCUAACUUCGUGCCAGCAGCCGCGGUAAUACGAAGGGGGCUAGCGUUGCUCGGAAUUACUGGGCGUAAAGGGAGCGUAGGCGGAUAGUUUAGUCAGAGGUGAAAGCCCAGGGCUCAACCUUGGAAUUGCCUUUGAUACUGGCUAUCUUGAGUACGGAAGAGGUAUGUGGAACUCCGAGUGUAGAGGUGAAAUUCGUAGAUAUUCGGAAGAACACCAGUGGCGAAGGCGACAUACUGGUCCGUUACUGACGCUGAGGCUCGAAAGCGUGGGGAGCAAACAGGAUUAGAUACCCUGGUAGUCCACGCUGUAAACGAUGAGUGCUAGUUGUCGGCACGUCNCUANCGACUAGUCGGUCGGUACGGACGACGACGUACCGUACCGACUAAGUAACGACGUACCGUCCCGUCCGGGUACGGGUACGGUUACCGGUACCGACGAACGUAAACUUAAACUAAACUAAGUAAGUAGUACGGUACGGUCGUAGACGUACGUCGACCGACGACGACGACGGAGGGAGGAG